AGGACUAACGCUGGCGGCGUGCCUAACACAUGCAAGUCGAACGGGGUAGCAAUACCCAGUGGCAGACGGGUGAGUAACACGUGGUCAACCUACCUCUAUGUGGGGGAUAACUAGCCGAAAGGUUAGCUAAUACCGCAUACGAUCGCUUUGGGGCAUCCCUAGGCGAUGAAAGGAGCAAUCCGCAUAGAGAGGGGACUGCGUCCCAUUAGUUAGUUGGUGGGGUAACGGCCUACCAAGACUCCGAUGGGUAGCUGGCUUGAGAGAGCGACCAGCCACACUGGAACUGAGACACGGUCCAGACUCCUAUGGGAGGCAGCAGUGAGGAAUUUUCCGCAAUGGGCGAAAGCCUGACGGAGCGACGCCGCGUGUGGGAAGAAGGCCUUCGGGUCGUAAACCACUGUCGAAGGGGACGAGUAAUGACGGUACCCUUGGAGGAAGCCCCGGCUAACUACGUGCCAGCAGCCGC
rnacentral:rRNA from 1 species